GAAUUUUCUUUUUCUGGGUCUAGAUCCUUUAUUUUAGCAACUUCAUUCUCAAAUACAGUCUUGUAAGGGCAGUUGAAGUAUAAAAGAGGUCCAAGCUCCCUUUCAAAAGGUUCAUAUGUCACAGGAGGCACAGAUGCCAGAUCCUCUGGAGUAUAUUCAAUAUCAAAGCUUGGAUAUUUAAAUGUUUCACGUUCCAGAUCAGCAAUUCCAUCUUCAUCGCUUGAAAUCUGCUCAUAUCCAUCAUCUUCACCCUCUUCCUCCUCUUCACCAUCUUCUUCAUCUUCAUCUUCCUCCUCCUCUUCCUCAUCUUCAUCGGGAAUACUCUCUACUGUGUGCCCAUCAUCAUCGUCCUCC
rnacentral:lncRNA from 1 species